rnacentral:rRNA from 1 species
CACGGAGGGUGCAAGCGUUAUUCGGAAUCACUGGGCGUAAAGAGCGCGUAGGCGGUCUCUUAAGUCAGAUGUGAAAGCCCGGGGCUCAACCCCGGAAGUGCAUUUGAAACUAAGUGACUUGAGUAUGGGAGAGGGAAGUGGAAUUCCUGGUGUAGCGGUGAAAUGCGUAGAUAUCAGGAGGAACACCGGUGGCGAUGGCGACUUCCUGGACCAAUACUGACGCUGAGGCGCGAAGGCGUGGGCAGAAAACAGG